rnacentral:rRNA from 1 species
AGUGAACGCUGGCGGUAGGCCUAACGCAUGCAAGUCGAACGGCAGCACAGUAAGAGCUUGCUCUUACGGGUGGCGAGUGGCGGACGGGUGAGGAAUACAUCGGAAUCUACUUUUUCGUGGGGGAUAACGUAGGGAAACUUACGCUAAUACCGCAUACGACCUACGGGUGAAAGCAGGGGAUCUUUGGACCUUGCGCGAUUGAAUGAGCCGAUGUCGGAUUAGCUAGUUGGCGGGGUAAAGGCCCACCAAGGCGACGAUCCGUAGCUGGUCUGAGAGGAUGAUCAGCCACACUGGAACUGAGACACGGUCCAGACUCCUACGGGAGGCAGCAGUGGGGAAUAUUGGACAAUGGGCGCAAGCCUGAUCCAGCCAUACCGCGUGGGUGAAGAAGGCCUUCGGGUUGUAAAGCCCUUUUGUUGGGAAAGAAAAGCAGCAGGUUAAUACCCCGCUGUUCUGACGGUACCCAAAGAAUAAGCACCGGCUAACUUCGUG